CAUGCCGUAAACGGUGGGCACUAGGUGUGGGGUCCGUUUCCACGGGUUCUGCGCCGUAGCUAACGCAUUAAGUGCCCCGCCUGGGGAGUACGGCCGCAAGGCUAAAACUCAAAGGAAUUGACGGGGGCCCGCACAAGCGGCGGAGCAUGCGGAUUAAUUCGAUGCAACGCGAAGAACCUUACCAAGGCUUGACAUAUACCGGAAGGCCCCAGAAAUGGGGAGAUCUUUGGACACUGGUAUACAGGUGG
rnacentral:rRNA from 1 species